GACGAACGCUGGCGGCGUGCCUAAUACAUGCAAGUUGAGCGCUGAAGGUUGGUACUUGUACCAACUGGAUGAGCAGCGAACGGGUGAGUAACGCGUGGGGAAUCUGCCUUUGAGCGGGGGACAACAUUUGGAAACGAAUGCUAAUACCGCAUAAAAACUUUAAACACAAGUUUUAAGUUUGAAAGAUGCAAUUGCAUCACUCAAAGAUGAUCCCGCGUUGUAUUAGCUAGUUGGUGAGGUAAAGGCUCACCAAGGCGAUGAUACGUAGCCGACCUGAGAGGGUGGUCGGCCACAUUGGGACUGUGACACGGCCCAAACUCCUACGGGAGGCAGCAGUAGGGAAUCUUCGGCAAUGGACGAAAGUCUGACCGAGCAACGCCGCGUGAGUGAAGAAGGUUUUCGGAUCGUAAAACUCUGUUGGUAGAGAAGAACGUUGGUGAGAGUGGAAAGCUCAUCAAGUGACGGUAACUACCCAGAAAGGAACGGCUAACUACGUG
rnacentral:rRNA from 1 species